rnacentral:misc_RNA from 1 species
UACGGAGGGUGCGAGCGUUAAUCGGAAUUACUGGGCGUAAAGGGUGCGCAGGUUGUUCAUUAAGUUAUCUGUGAAAUUCCUGGGCUUAACCUGGGCAUGUCAGAUGAUACUGAUGGACUUGAGUAUAGGAGAGGGCAGUGGAAUUUCCGGUGUAGCGGUGAAAUGCGUAGAUAUCGGAAGGAACACCAGUGGCGAAGGCGGCUGCCUGGCCUAAUACUGACACUGAGGCACGAAAGCGUGGGUAGCAAACAGG